AGCGUCGGUGAACCACCCGAUCCCAUCCCGAACUCGGACGUGAAACCCCUCUGCGCCAAUGGUACUAUCGCUCAAGCGAUGGAAGAGUAGGUCGCCGCCAGGCA
rnacentral:rRNA from 1 species